GUGAGUAACACGUGAGCAACCUGCCCUGGACUCUGGGAUAAGCGCUGGAAACGGCGUCUAAUACUGGAUAUGAGACGUGAUCGCAUGGUCGUGUUUGGAAAGAUUUUUCGGUCUGGGAUGGGCUCGCGGCCUAUCAGCUUGUUGGUGAGGUAAUGGCUCACCAAGGCGUCGACGGGUAGCCGGCCUGAGAGGGUGACCGGCCACACUGGGACUGAGACACGGCCCAGACUCCUACGGGAGGCAGCAGUGGGGAAUAUUGCACAAUGGGCGGAAGCCUGAUGCAGCAACGCCGCGUGAGGGAUGACGGCCUUCGGGUUGUAAACCUCUUUUAGCAGGGAAGAAGCGAAAGUGACGGUACCUGCAGAAAAAGCGCCGGCUAACUACGUGCCAGCAGCCGCGGUAAUACGUAGGGCGCAAGCGUUAUCCGGAAUUAUUGGGCGUAAAGAGCUCGUAGGCGGUUUGUCGCGUCUGCUGUGAAAUCCCGAGGCUCAACCUCGGGUCUGCAGUGGGUACGGGCAGACUAGAGUGCGGUAGGGGAGAUUGGAAUUCCUGGUGUAGCGGUGGAAUGCGCAGAUAUCAGGAGGAACACCGAUGGCGAAGGCAGAUCUCUGGGCCGUAACUGACGCUGAGGAGCGAAAGGGUGGGGAGCAAACAGGCUUAGAUACCCUGGUAGUCCACCCCGUAAACGUUGGGAACUAGU
rnacentral:rRNA from 1 species